CCCUUAGAUGUCCGGGGCCGCACGCGCGCUACACUGAAGGAAUCAGCGUGGCUUUCUCCCUGACCCGAAAGGGUUGGGAAACCCGUUGAAUCUCCUUCGUGAUAGGGAUUGGGGCUUGAAAUUGUUCCCCAUGAACGAGGAAUUCCCAGUAAGCGCGAGUCAUAAGCUCGCGUUGAUUACGUCCCUGCCCUUUGUACACACCGCCCGUCGCUACUACCGAUUGAGCGAUCCGGUAAAUGUUUUGGAUUGGUGCCGGGGCGGCUAGCUGCCGGUCGCUACGAAAUUUUGUGAACCUUAUCGCUUAGAGGAAGGAAAAGUCGUAACA
rnacentral:rRNA from 1 species